rnacentral:rRNA from 1 species
GAUGAACGCUGGCGGCGUGCCUAAUACAUGCAAGUCGAGCGAACAGACGAGAGUGCUUGCACUCUCUGACGUUAGCGGCGGACGGGUGAGUAACACGUGGGUAACCUACCUAUAAGACUGGGAUAACUUCGGGAAACCGGAGCUAAUACCGGAUAAUAUUUAGCUUCGGAUGAAGCAAUAUUGAAAGACGGUUCUGCUGUCACUUAUAGAUGGACCCGCGGUGUAUUAGCUAGUUGGUGGGGUAACGGCUCACCAAGGCAACGAUACAUAGCCGACCUGAGAGGGUGAUCGGCCACACUGGGACUGAGACACGGCCCAGACUCCUACGGGAGGCAGCAGUAGGGAAUCUUCAGCAAAGGACGAAAGUCUGACGGAGCAAUGCCGCGUGAGUGAAGAAGGUGUUCGGAUCGUAAAACUCUGUUGUAAGGGAAGAACAAGUACGUUAGUAACUGAACGUACCUUGACGGUACCUGAACAGAAAGCCACGGCUAACUACGUG